AACGAACGCUGGCGGCAUGCCUAACACAUGCAAGUCGAACGAGACCUUCGGGUCUAGUGGCGCACGGGUGCGUAACGCGUGGGAACCUGCCCUUAGGUUCGGAAUCACUCCCCGAAAGGGGUGCUAAUACCGGAUAAUGUCUUCGGACCAAAGAUUUAUCGCCUUUGGAUGGGCCCGCGUUGGAUUAGCUAGUUGGUAGGGUAAAAGCCUACCAAGGCGACGAUGCAUAGCUGGUCUGAGAGGAUGAUCAGCCACACUGGGACUGAGACACGGCCCAGACUCCUACGGGAGGCAGCAGUGGGGAAUAUUGGACAAUGGGCGAAAGCCUGAUCCAGCAAUGCCGCGUGAGUGAUGAAGGCCUUAGGGUUGUAAAGCUCUUUUACCCGGGAUGAUAAUGACAGUACCGGGAGAAUAAGCUCCGGCUAACUCCGUG
rnacentral:rRNA from 1 species